GAGGGCCCCGCACAAGCAGCGGAGCGUGUGGUUUAAUUCGUUGCUACACGAAGAACCUUACCUGGGUUUGACAUAAUGGUGGUAGGGAUCCCGAAAGGUGACCGACCCUUCGGGGAGCUUGCACAGGUGCUGCAUGGCUGUCGUCAGCUCGUGUCGUGAGAUGUUCGGUUAAGUCCGCUAACGAGCGCAACCCUCGCUGUGUGUUAUAUGUGUCACACGGGACUGCCGGUCUUAAGCCGGAGGAAGGUGGGGAUGAUGUCAAGUCAGCAUGGCCUUUAUAUCCUGGGCUACACACACGCUACAAUGGCCAACACAAUAGGUUGCUAAGCCGCGAGGUGGCGCCAAUCCAUAAAGUUGGUCUCAGUUCAGAUUGUAGGCUGCAACCCGCCUGCAUGAAGAUGGAGUUGCUAGUAACCGCAGGUCAGCUAUACUGCGGUGAAUACGUUCCCGGGGCUU
rnacentral:rRNA from 1 species